GGAGCUCUAUGAUGCUGAGGUGAAGAGGAAAGGGACCGAUGUGCCCAAGUGGAUCAGCAUCAUGACUGAGCGCACUGUGUGCCACCUCCAGAAAGUGUUCGAAAGGUACAAGAGCUACAGUCCUUAUGACAUGCUGGAGAGCAUCAAGAAAGAGGUCAAAGGAGACCUGGAGAACGCCUUCCUGAACCUGGUUCAGUGCAUUUACAACAAGCCCCUGUACUUUGCUGACCGGCUGUAUGGCUCCAUGAAGGGCAAGGGGACUCGAGACAAGGUCCUGAUUAGAAUCAUGGUCUCUCGCAGUGAAGUGGACAUGUUGAAAAUCAGAUCUGAAUUCAAGAGGAAAUAUGGCAAAUCCCUGUACUACUUCAUCCAGCAAGACACUAAGGGUGACUACCAGAAGGCGCUGCUGUACCUGUGUGGUGGGGACGACUGAAGGGCUUGGCACAGUGGAUGGCCCAGAAGUGGCCCUACCUGUGCCCCAACCUAAUGUUCUAGAGAAUCAGCCUGCCACUAUGGACCCCUGAGCUCCUCCCUGUGAAGAUAGAGCUGCCGACCCAUCCCCCAUCUUAGCUGCCUUUGCCUGGCUUUCCCCUCAUUCUCUCCUUUAUGCCAAAGAAAUGAACAUUCCAGGGAGUUGGAUGUACCGUCUGUGACAUGAGACACUUCCUCAUAUGUACUGUGUCAUGAAUAAACCAUUUUUACUUUAGAAAAAAAAGCUAA
rnacentral:lncRNA from 1 species